AGCAGCAACAACAACAACAGCAACAACAGCAGCAACAACAGCAGCAACAACAGCAGCAGCAGCAGCAACAGCAGCAGGUCCAGCAGCAGCAGCAGGUGCAGCCACAGCAGGUACAGCCGCAGCAGGUCUCUGCAGCGCAGGCACCUGCACAGGUGCAGCAGAACCAGGCCCUGGGCAUGCAGGCGCUGCCGCCGCAACAACCCAUGUUUCCACGGCAGGGUAUGCAGCAGACCCAGCAACAGCAACAGACAGCAGCCCUGGUCAGACAGCUCCAGCAGCAGCUGUCAAAUACACAACCUGGACAGAACACAGCUCCCUAUUACUGAGAGAGAAAAAAAAA
ensembl:lncRNA